rnacentral:rRNA from 1 species
AGAGUUUGAUCCUGGCUCAGGAUGAACGCUAGCUACAGGCUUAACACAUGCAAGUCGAGGGGAAACGACAUCGAAAGCUUGCUUUUGAUGGGCGUCGACCGGCGCACGGGUGAGUAACGCGUAUCCAACCUGCCCAUCACUUGGGGAUAACCUUGCGAAAGUAAGACUAAAUACCCAAUGAUAUCUCUAGAAGACAUCUGAAAGAGAUUAAAGAUUUAUCGGUGAUGGAUGGGGAUGCGUCUGAUUAGCUUGUUGGCGGGGUAACGGCCCACCAAGGCUACGAUCAGUAGGGGUUCUGAGAGGAAGGUCCCCCANAUUGGAACUGAGACACGGUCCAACUCCUACGGGAGCA